GAUGAACGCUGGCGGCGUGCCUAAUACAUGCAAGUCGAGCGAACAGAUGAGGAGCUUGUUCCUCUGACGUUAGCGGCGGACGGGUGAGUAACACGUGGAUAACCUACCUAUAAGACUGGGAUAACUUCGGGAAACCGGAGCUAAUACCGCAUAAUAUAUUGAACCGCAUGGUUCAAGAGUGAAAGACGCUUUUGCUGUCACUAAUAGAUGGAUCCGGGUGGCAUAAGCUAGUUGGUAAGGUAACGCCAUACCAAGGCAACGAUGCGUAUCCGACCUGAGAGGAUGAUGGGCCAACAGGAAAUGGAGACAGGGCCAAGACCCCUAGGGGGGGCCGGAGUGGGAACUUUUGCGAAAGGGGCGAAUCCCUAACGGAGCAGCGCCGCGUGAGUGAUAAAGGUUUUGGGAUCGAAAAACUCUGUUAUGAGAAAAAAACAAAUGAGUAAGUAACUAUGCACGUCUGACGGGUACCUAAUAAGAAAGCCACGGUAAACUCGUU
rnacentral:rRNA from 1 species